UACAGAGGUCCCAAGCGUUGUUCGGAUUUACUGGGCGUAAAGGGUGCGUAGGCGGCCUGGCAAGUCUGAUGUGAAAUCUCGGAGCUCAACUCCGAAACUGCAUUGGAUACUAUCUGGCUGGAGGGUCGGAGGGGGGACUGGAAUUCUCGGUGUAGCAGUGAAAUGCGUAGAUAUCGAGAGGAACACCAGUGGCGAAGGCGAGUCCCUGGACGACUCCUGACACUGAGGCACGAAAGCUGGGGGAGCGAACAGG
rnacentral:rRNA from 1 species